CACCGCCCGUCACACCACGAAAGUUGACUGCACCAGAAGUCUCUGUGCUAACCGCAAGGAGGCAGGAGCCCAAGGUUUGGUCAAUGAUUGGGGUG
rnacentral:rRNA from 1 species